rnacentral:rRNA from 1 species
CAGUAGCCGCGGGAAUACGUAGGGUGCAAGCGUUAAUCGGAAUUACUGGGCGUAAAGCGUGCGCAGGCGGUUAUAUAAGACAGAUGUGAAAUCCCCGGGCUCAACCUGGGAACUGCAUUUGUGACUGUAUAGCUAGAGUACGGCAGAGGGGGAUGGAAUUCCGCGUGUAGCAGUGAAAUGCGUAGAUAUGCGGAGGAACACCAAUGGCGAAGGCAAUCCCCUGGGCCUGUACUGACGCUCAUGCACGAAAGCGUGGGGAGCAAACAGGAUUAGAUACCCGCGUAGUCCCUGUCUCUUAUAC